AUUGAACGCUGGCGGCAUGCCUUACACAUGCAAGUCGAACGGUAACAGGUCUUCGGAUGCUGACGAGUGGCGAACGGGUGAGUAAUACAUCGGAACGUGCCCGAGAGUGGGGGAUAACGAGGCGAAAGCUUUGCUAAUACCGCAUACGAUCUCAGGAUGAAAGCAGGGGACCGCAAGGCCUUGCGCUCACGGAGCGGCCGAUGGCAGAUUAGGUAGUUGGUGGGAUAAAAGCUUACCAAGCCGACGAUCUGUAGCUGGUCUGAGAGGACGACCAGCCACACUAGGACUGAGACACGGCCCAGACUCCGACGGGAGGCAGCAGUGGGGAAUUUUGGACAAUGGGCGCAAGCCUGAUCCAGCCAUGCCGCGUGCAGGAUGAAGGCCUUCGGGUUGUAAACUGCUUUUGUACGGAACGAAAAGACUCUGGUUAAUACCUGGGGUCCAUGACGGUACCGUAAGAAUAAGCACCGGCUAACUACGUGCCAGCCGCCGCAGUAAUAC
rnacentral:rRNA from 1 species